GCAACUGCCAAAAACAUAGCAUAUUCUGUGGUUCAUCUCAAUCCCGGAGAUAUUUCUGGCUCUUCUCAGCAUCCGAAAAAGAGACAGAAAUUUCCUUGCAACACAGAAACUUCCUUGCAACAUAGAGACUUCUUUGCAACAUUUCAGCGGCAUUGGAACAACUCUAUGUUUCGUCUUGCAAUAUGGGUUUGCUUGGUUUCUGUCGUUCAUGUUGGAAUUUCAACAGAGGUACGCGGCUGUGAUGCAGCUGGAGGCAGGUGCACCGAAGUGGGGGAAGGGAGGGGGAGGGGGUGCCAUGCCCUCCCUUUCACCUGCGGGGAAGGAGAGAUUUGCUGUGAGGAAGCUGAAGAAGUUCGAAAGCAGGAAACAGGGAAAAAUCCGAAAAACAAAAAUUCGGUUAAGAGGUUAAGAGAACG